UAUCAUAAAUAAAAUAAGAUUACUAAAUUAAACAAAAAAAGAUAGUAAGCAGAAGCUUUAAAGAUAGAACAAUAAAACUUGGCUCUGAUUUUGAGUAUGGCGUGCACUAAGGGAUACACAUGGUUUUUAUUGAAAGGGGUGAGGUGGAAGAUUAAAGUUAAAUUAACGCAAAGUUGACUUAAUUAGGUCUUCUAGGAUGUUAUAGAAAACAUGAUGUCCUGAAAUUCCCACUAACACCAGUGUUGGAGAUUAAAAAAGAGCGGAAGCUCGUAUUAGUUUAGUGAAUAAAAUUUGGUUAAUUUGGUGCCAGCAUCCGCGGUUAAACCAAGAAAUUUAGUCAUUCUUUUUCGGUAAAAAGACAGUUAGGCAGAAAAGAGAUCAUUAGACCUUUAAUAUAGGGGUAAAAUCUAUAUACUAAAAGUUAUUUUAAUUGUGGUUAUAUUAUAGAUGCUGAAUCUGUGACAACUUUAAGGGAAACUGGGAUUGGAUACCCCACUAUUUCUAGUAGUAAAUUUAAUUUAGGUUUACCAGAGUACUACGAAUAAAAAGUUUAAAACUCAAAGAGCUUGGCGGUGUUUUAGACCUCUCAGGGGAACCUGUCUCAUAAUCGACAAUCCACGUUAGACCUGACCCUUUAUGGCAAUUCAGCCUGUAUACCGUCGUCGUCAGGUAACUUCUUAAAAUAUAGUAGUUAGCCCGAUAAUUUUAUUAAUUAAUACGUCAGAUCAAGGUGCAGCUAAUAAAAGGGAGAGGAUGGGUUACAAUUAUAGAUUUAUAAUUACGAAGGAUAUUUAGAAAUAAAAUAUUUAAAGGAGGACUUGAAAGUAAUUUUGAUUAUAUAAGUAAAAUGAAUAAGGCUCUGAAACGUGCACACAUCGCCCGUCGCUCUCGUUGAAAAAUGAGAUAAGUCGUAACAUAGUAGGGGUAAUGGAAAUUGUUCCUAAGCUG
rnacentral:ncRNA from 1 species